rnacentral:rRNA from 1 species
UGGGGGAUAUUGGUCAAUGGGGGGAAACCCUGAACCAGCGACGCCGCGUGAGGGAAGAAGGUUUUCGGAUUGUAAACCUCUGUCCUCGGUGAAGAUAAUGACGGUAGCCGAGGAGGAAGCUCCGGCUAACUACGUGCC